rnacentral:ncRNA from 1 species
GCGUGGGUCGGCCCGCUGAACUGGACCAGCGGGCUGGGGGAAACCGCCGCCCCGCUCCCCGCGGGCGACGGUCCGGCCCGGGAAGUUGGAGAAGCCUUCCCGGGCCGGC